CUACAGGCUUAACACGUGCAAGUCGAGGGGCAGCAUGGUCUUAGCUUGCUAAGACUGAUGGCGACCGGCGCACGGGUGAGUAACACGUAUCCAACCUGCCGUCUACUCUUGGACAGCCUUCUGAAAGGAAGAUUAAUACAAGAUGGCAUCAUGAGUCCGCAUGUUCACAUGAUUAAAGGUAUUCCGGUAGACGAUGGGGAUGCGUUCCAUUAGAUAGUAGGCGGGGUAACGGCCCACCUAGUCUUCGAUGGGUAGGGGUUCUGAGAGGAAGGUCCCCCACAUUGGAACUGAGACACGGUCCAAACUCCUACGGGAGGCAGCAGUGAGGAAUAUUGGUCAAUGGGCGAGAGCCUGAACCAGCCAAGUAGCGUGAAGGAUGACUGCCCUAUGGGUUGUAAACUUCUUUUAUAAAGGAAUAAAGUCGGGUAUGGAUACCCGUUUGCAUGUACUUUAUGAAUAAGGAUCGGCUUACUCCGUGCCAGCAGCCGCGGUAAUACGGAGGAUCCGAGCGUUAUCCGGAUUUAUUGGGUUUAAAGGGAGCGUAGAUGGAUGUUUAAGUCAGUUGUGAAAGUUUGCGGCUCAACCGUAAAAUUGCAGUUGAUACUGGAUAUCUUGAGUGCAGUUGAGGCAGGCGGAAUUCGUGGUGUAGCGGUGAAAUGCUUAGAUAUCACGAAGAACUCCGAUUGCGAAGGCAGCCUGCUAAGCUGCAACUGACAUUGAGGCUCGAAAGUGUGGGUAUCAAACAGGAUUAGAUACCCUGGUAGUCCACACGGUAAACGAUGAAUACUCGCUGUUUGCGAUAUACUGCAAGCGGCCAAGCGAAAGCGUUAAGUAUUCCACCUGGGGAGUACGCCGGCAACGGUGAAACUCAAAGGAAUUGACGGGGGCCCGCACAAGCGGAGGAACAUGUGGUUUAAUUCGAUGAUACGCGAGGAACCUUACCCGGGCUUAAAUUGCAGAUGAAUUACGGUGAAAGCCGUAAGCCGCAAGGCAUCUGUGAAGGUGCUGCAUGGUUGUCGUCAGCUCGUGCCGUGAGGUGUCGGCUUAAGUGCCAUAACGAGCGCAACCCUUGUUGUCAGUUACUAACAGGUUCCGCUGAGGACUCUGACAAGACUGCCAUCGUAAGAUGUGAGGAAGGUGGGGAUGACGUCAAAUCAGCACGGCCCUUACGUCCGGGGCUACACACGUGUUACAAUGGGGGGUACAGAGGGCCGCUACCACGCGAGUGGAUGCCAAUCCCCAAAACCUCUCUCAGUUCGGACUGGAGUCUGCAACCCGACUCCACGAAGCUGGAUUCGCUAGUAAUCGCGCAUCAGCCACGGCGCGGUGAAUACGUUCCCGGGCCUUGUACACACCGCCCGUCAAGCCAUGGGAGCCGGGGGUACCUGAAGUGCGUAACCGCGAGGAGCGCCCUAGGGUAAAACUGGUGACUGGGGCUAAGUCAUAAC
rnacentral:rRNA from 1 species